AGAACAACCAAGCCUCAACAGAAAGACAUCGGUGAUGCUGUGGGUAUGGUAGCAAUCCUAAAGAGGGCGCUACAUCAUGAUUGUAUCUUGCUUGUAAAGCAGUACAGACCUCCACUGAAGGCUUAUUCCAUAGAGUUCCCAGCAGGAUUAAUUGACAAGAAUGAAACUGCUUCAGAAGCUGCUGUAAGGGAACUAAAGGAGGAAACAGGUUAUACCGGUACCAUUCAAAGUAUAUCACCAGGUAACAAUCUAAC